rnacentral:rRNA from 1 species
UACAGAGGUCUCAAGCGUUGUUCGGAAUCACUGGGCGUAAAGGGUGCGUAGGCGGCGCGGAAAGUCAGAUGUGAAAUCCGGAGGCUCAACCUCCGAACUGCAUCCGAUACUUCCGCGCUAGAGGGUUGUAGAGGAGCUUGGAAUUCUCGGUGUAGCAGUGAAAUGCGUAGAUAUCGAGAAGAACGCUCGCAGCGAAAGCGAAGCUCUGGGCAACAUCUGACGCUGAUGCACGAAGGCUAGGGGAGCAAAACGGGG